rnacentral:rRNA from 1 species
UACGUAGGGUGCAGGCGUUAAUCGGAAUUACUGGGCGUAAAGCGUGCGCAGGCGGUCUCUUAAGACAGGUGUGAAAUCCCCGGGCUUAACCUGGGGACUGCGCUUGUAACUGAGAGGCUUGAGUGUGCCAGAGGGGGGUGGAAUUCCACGUGUAGCAGUGAAAUGCGUAGAGAUCAUGAGGAAGACCAGUGGCGAAGGCGGGUCUCUGGACAGUUCCUGACACUGAGACACGAAGGCUAGGGGAGCAAACGGG